CCUGCUGUUUCAUUACAGUAUUGGUUCCCAUUUACGUCUGUAUGAACGUUUCACAACGCCUUGACCAAUGAAAUGUAUUAAAAAUAGCUUGUCACCAAACUCUUAAGUCCAUUGGCUCUCAAAGUUGUCUGUCAAACCCAGUUGUAUCUCCUCCACAAUUCUUGAAGUGAAGCAAACUUCACUCCUCAAGAUUUGUUUGUUCUUGGGUUCUCAGCCAGACACAAUCAGAGUUUGUAGCGGCACAAUCGAAGGGAAGGAGAAUGGACCAUCCAAGAAAAUAAAAUACCCAGCAAAAUGGAAAGGUGAGGUUCGGAAGAGAUGGACGGUAAAUCCGGUUUUGUCAAAAAAUUGAUUUUUAUUAGCAGGUUAGGAUAAUUGAUGUAGCAGGUUAGGAGGAGUAGGUCAAGGUUAYGAAAAUGGUUAGAGUUAGCUAAAAUGCAAAGAAAUCUACUUUUGAUGUCAAUUWAAUUCCAUGGUGAAAUGUCUCUGAUUUGCAUACUAGUGAUUGAUAGUGACACAUGAUUGAUAGUGACAUUUUGGUAUUGAUUGUUGUGUAGACUGUCUUGUUCAUUCUGAGUGAAAAAUGUAACAUCACACUUGGUGUAAAUCUUUUUAGUAUGCAUUCACCAUCACAUGUACUUGAAAUUAUAUAGUGAAAUAAAAUGUUGAUGCUAUUAAAAUUGUAAAUUAUUCCUA